rnacentral:rRNA from 1 species
UUGCUAGUUGAGGUGCAUGCCAAACCUUCUAAGAAAUCUGCCGCCAAGAGAGCUAAACCUGCUAAGGAACCGUCUGUUAAGAAACCUAAGAAGGCACAUGUUGAUAAGGCACCUAAAGUCCUAAAAUCAGCUAUGGAUGAUGUACUAUGUAGUGCUACAUCAUCUGUAGUUGUGGACAAUGCCAAUGAAGAAGCACUUGAGCUUGUUCAGUCAAUAGGGAGUCAAACAAGUGCUAUUAUUGACAAUGAUAUGAAUUUUUCAACAUGUGAUGUUGUUCAACCUAAUGUGCCAUCAAUUUCUGAAGUGGAUGAAAGCAAUGAGCAAUGUGGGUCUUCAGUGGUGGUUGAUACAAAACCACCAAUUGAUUGGAGCCUAAUUGAGAUUGCUCCUCCAAAUGAAGAUUAAGUGGAUGUUUCAACUACAAAGGAGAAUAUGUGUGACUUUCUGGGUAUUGAUGAGGAUGAGACACAGGAAGCACCUCCUUCGCCACCUAGUGAGGAUGUGUAUCUCACUGAUGAGGAGGACCAACAACUAUUGAAUGAGGCAGCUAUUCUUGUUGAUGAUAGGAUAACUCAGGAGGAUGAGAUUGCAUAUGACAAAGAGAACCCUCGGAUGUAUGUAGGUGCCUUAUUCCCUUCAAUGAAAGAGUUCAGGAUGGCAAUAAAACAAUAUGCCAUUAACAAUGAAAUUGACAUAUGGGGAUCUAAAAUAGGUAAAAGAUGUCUUGGAAAUUGUAGAGGCAUCAAGUGUCCAUGGAGGGUAACUGCUCGUUUAAAGGUUGAUGAGAAAACAAUAAGGGUACUAACUAUCUUGCUAAUAAGAACUUCUAUUUCUAGUAAUUAG